rnacentral:rRNA from 1 species
ACACGACCGUACCGCAAACCGACACUGGUGCGCGAGAUGAGUAUUCUAAGGCGCUUGAGAGAACUCAGGAGAAGGAACUCGGCAAAUUGACACCGUAACUUCGGAAGAAGGUGUGCCUUUAGUAGGUGAAGUCCCUCGCGGAUGGAGCCCAAUGAGGUUGCAAAGAAUCGGUGGCUGCGACUGUUUAUUAAAAACACAGCACUCUGCAAACACGAAAGUGGACGUAUAGGGUGUGACGCCUGCCCGGUGCUGGAAGAUUAAAUGAUGGGGUGCAAGCUCUUGAUUGAAGUCCCAGUAAACGGCGGCCGUAACCAUAACGGUCCUAAGGUAGCGAAAUUCCUUGUCGGGUAAGUUCCGACCUGCACGAAUGGCGUAACGAUGGCCACACUGUCUCCUCCUGAGACUCAGCGAAGUUGAAAUGUUUGUGAUGAUGCAAUCUCCCCGCGGAAAGACGGAAAGACCCCAUGAACCUUUACUGUAGCUUUGUAUUGGACUUUGAACAGAUCUGUGUAGGAUAGGUGGGAGGCUUUGAAGCAGGGUCGCUAGAUCUUGUGGAGCCAACGUUGAAAUACCACCCUGGUGUGUUUGAGGUUCUAACCUAGGCCCGUAAUCCGGGUUGGGGACAGUGCAUGGUAGGCAGUAUGACUGGGGCGGUCUCCUCCCAAAGUGUAACGGAGGAGUUCGAAGGUACGCUAGUUACGGUCGGACAUCGUGACGAUAGUGCAAUGGCAUAAGCGUGCUUAACUGCGAGACUGACAAGUCGAGCAGAUGCGAAAGCACGACAUAGUGAUCCGGUGGUUCUGUAUGGAAGGGCCAUCGCUCAACGGAUAAAAGGUACUCUGGGGAUAACAGGCUGAUACCGCCCAAGAGUUCAUAUCGACGGCGGUGUUUGGCACCUCGAUGUCGGCUCAUCUCAUCCUGGGGCUGUAGCCGGUCCCAAGGGUAUGGCUGUUCGCCAUUUAAAGAGGUACGUGAGCUGGGUUUAAAACGUCGUGAGACAGUUUGGUCCCUAUCUUCCGUGGGCGCUGCAGAUUUGAGGAAGCCUGCUCCUAGUACGAGAGGACCGGAGUGGACGCACCUCUGGUGUAUCGGUUGUCACGCCAGUGGCAUUGCCGAGUAGCUAUGUGCGGAAGAGAUAACCGCUGAAAGCAUCUAAGCGGGAAACUCGUUUCAAGAUGAGAUCUGCCGGGGCCUUGAGCCCCCUGAAGAGUCGUUCAAGACCAGGACGUUGAUAGGUCGGGUGUGGAAGCGCAGUAAUGCGUUAAGCUAACCGAUACUAAUUGCUCGUGCGGCUUGACCCU